GAUCAUGGCUCAGGAUGAACGCUAGCGACAGGCUUAACACAUGCAAGUCGGAGGGGCAGCAUGAGGUAGCAAUACCUUGAUGGCGACCGGCGCACGGGUGAGUAACGCGUAUGCAACCUGCCCGAUACCGGGGUUAUAGCCCAUGGAAACGUGGAUUAACACCCCAUAGUACUUUUAUCCUGCAUGGGAUGUGAGUUAAAUGUUCAAGGUAUCGGAUGGGUCAUGUGUCCUAUUAG
rnacentral:rRNA from 1 species